rnacentral:rRNA from 1 species
AGAGUUUGAUCAUGGCUCAGGAUGAACGCUGGCGGCGUGCCUAAUACAUGCAAGUCGAACGAGGUACUUUUGUAGCAAUACGAGAGUAUCCUAGUGGCGAACGGGUGAGUAACGCGUUGGUGACCUACCCCAAAGUGUGGGAUAACAGUCCGAAAGGAUUGCUAAUACCGCAUGUGGUUAUUGGAUCUAGAAACCGAUAACUAAAGGAGCAAUUCGCUUUGGGAGGGACCUGCGUCCCAUCAGCUAGUUGGUGAGGUAAUGGCUCACCAAGGCUACGACGGGUAGGGGACCUGAGAGGGUGACCCCCCACAAUGGAACUGAAACACGGUCCAUACACCUACGGGUGGCAGCAGUAGGGAAUAUUGCACAAUGGGCGAAAGCCUGAUGCAGCAACGCCGCGUGCACGAUGAAGGCCUUCGGGUCGUAAAGUGCUUUUCUGGGAGAUGAGAAAGGACAGUAUCCCAGGAAUAAGUCUCGGCUAACUACGUGCCAGCAGCCGCGGUAAAACGUAGGAGGCGAGCGUUAUCCGGAUUCACUGGGCGUAAAGCGCGUGCAGGUGGCUUGGUAAGUUAGGCGUGAAAUCUCCCGGCUCAACUGGGAGAGGUCGUCUAAUACUACCGGGCUAGAGAACAGAAGAGGAAGAUGGAAUUCCCGGUGUAGUGGUGAAAUGCGUAGAUAUCGGGAGGAACACCAGUGGCGAAGGCGAUCUUCUGGUCUGUUUCUGACACUCAGACGCGACAGCUAGGGUAGUAAACGGGAUUAGAGACCCCGGUAAUCCUAGCCGUAAACGAUGUGAACUUGGCGUUGGUGGGUUAAACUCCAUCAGUGCCGAAGCAAACGCGAUAAGUUCACCGCCUGGGGACUACGGCCGCAAGGUUAAAACUCAAAUGAAUUGACGG